GAUGAAGAACGUAGCGAAAUGCGAUAAGUAAUGUGAAUUGCAGAAUUCAGUGGAUCAUCGAAUCUUUGAACGCACAUUGCGCCCGCCAGCAUUCUGGCGGGCAUGCCUGUUCGAGCGUCAUUUCAACCCUCGAGCCCCCCCGGGGGCCUCGGUGUUGGGGGACGGCACACCAGCCGCCCCCGAAAUGCAGUGGCGACCCCGCCGCAGCCUCCCCUGCGUAGUAGCACACACCUCGCACCGGAGCGCGGAGGCGGUCACGCCGUAAAACGCCCAACUUUCUUAGAGUUGACCUCGGAUCAGGUAGGAAUACCCGCUGAACUUAAGCAUAUCAAUAAGCGGAGGA
rnacentral:misc_RNA from 1 species